rnacentral:rRNA from 1 species
CCCUUAGAUGUUCUGAACCGCACGCGUGUUACACUGAUGCAUUCAACGAGCUUUACCUUGGCCGAGAGGCCUGGGAAAUCUUUUUAGCAUGCAUCGUGAUAGGGAUUGAUUAUUGCAAUUAUUAAUCAUGAACGAGGAAUUCCUAGUAAACGCAUUUCAUCAAAAUGCAUUGAUUACGUCCCUGCCCUUUGUACCGAUUGAGUGGUCCGGUGAAGUCUCGAGAUUGUGGCAAUCUCCUUUAUUGGAGUUUGACUGCGAGAACUUGCCUAAACCUUAUCACUUAGAGGAAGGUGAAGUCGUAACA